AGUUGGUGGAGCGAUUUGUCUGGUUAAUUCCGAUAACGAACGAGACUCCAACCUACUAAAUAGUGGGCGAAUCGUUCGUUCGUAACACUUCUUAGAGGGAUAGGUGGCUUUCAGUCACAUGAGAAGGAGCAAUAACAGGU
rnacentral:rRNA from 1 species